GACGAACGCUGGCGGCGUGCCUAAUACAUGCAAGUAGGACGCAGUUGCGCACGGGUGAGUAACGCGUAGGUAACUACCUAUUAGAGGGGGCUAACUAUUGGACACGAUAGCUAAUACCGCAUACUAGUAGAUGGACCUGCUUUGUAUUAGCUAGUAGGUAGGGUAAUGGCCUACCUAGGCAACGAUACAUAGCCGACCUGGGAGGGUGAUCGGCCAAACCGGGACUGGGGAACGGCCCAGACUCCUACGGGGGGCAGCAGUAGGGAAACUUUGGAAAUGGGGGGAACGCUGACCGAGCAACGCCGGGGGAGUGAAGAAGGUUUUCGGAUCGUAAAGCUCUGUUGUUAAGGAAGCGGUACUUAACCAGAAAGGGACGGCUAACUACGUGCCAGCAGCCGCGGUAAUUC
rnacentral:rRNA from 1 species